UACGUAGGGACCAAGCGUUGUUCGGAUUUACUGGGCGUAAAGGGCGCGUAGGCGGCAUGACAAGUCACUUGUGAAAUCUCCGGGCUUAACUCGGAACGGCCAAGUGAUACUGUCAAGCUAGAGUGCAGAAAGGGCAAUCGGAAUUCUUGGUGUAGCGGUGAAAUGCGUAGAUAUCAGGAGGAACACCGGUGGCGAAGGCGGGUCUCUGGGCCGAUACUGACGCUGAGGAGCGAAAGCGUGGGGAGCGAACAGG
rnacentral:rRNA from 1 species